UGUAAAACGUAUAUUGAAGUUAAGCGCUGUGAUGAUCUCGACCUCGACAUGAGUUUACUAACAACAGACGAUAUUCCCGUACUUUAAUCUGAAUUAUUUGAAAUCGUGAACAUAAAAAGAAAACGUGCAUUGGUCGGUUCCUCGUCUGAAAAUACAUCCAUAUUAAACAAUAGGCGUAUGACAGACGAGGCCAAAACCUCUGGUCAGAUUACAUGUUUAUCGUUCGGUUCACCUAUGACCUCGUUUGUUUACCUUGCUCCCGAGAUGUGACGAGAGUGCUCCUCGAGCUCGUGCGAUCUAAAUGUGCACGAUGCAAGUAUUAAAUACUGUAAUAUUUAUCUUAAAAGUAUGACACAAUAGAAGUUUAUGAUUUAGAAUAAAAAACACGCACAAGUAAAAAUGAAUCGUGUUAAUCUCUGGCAGUAAAAUAUUUAUCCCAUGAUGCAACACACACGAGUUUAGCGGGAAGUCUGAUAGCCAUGUUUGAAUUCACCGGAUGUUUAUUUCCAGAAGAAAAGUAUAAACAAACACGACGAUAGCCUAAAAACGAAGUUUGUUUCCAGUCUUACUGAAGAAGAUCGACUUACUUCAAGUUACCGACGAAUGAAUAUCAGCUUUCUCGUUGUUUUUGACGACCGAUGCAUAUUUUUACCGACAAACAUCGUUACGAGACAGGGGUUUUGAUGAUUAAUUUAUCACAGAUUACACGGCCGAAGGAAACGCAGUACCGAUCCAUGUGUUACAAUCAGACUGAGUCUUCAUGCAGUACAUUCUGGAAUGAGGAACACCGCAUGCAUUAAUUGUGGUCCAAAUUGAUGGCAUUGACUUAACACAAAGCAGAAAGGAAUGAAGAGAAAUGAAGAAGUUUAUGUUUCACAUUAAUUAAGAUUAUUCGAGAUAUGUUAUCUGUCGAGUUUACGGACACACAUGAAAACAGUUUCCAGUACAUCUGGGCUACUUCGAGGAAACUACGUAUACUGUCUGAAAUCAGUCUUGUGCGUCGGUGACAAAAUGUAUACAUAUCCUACUAUAACUCUGCUGGAAAAUAUUAUUUUGUACUAUUUUCCUACUAUUUUAGAAAAAAAA